rnacentral:misc_RNA from 1 species
UGAAGGGAGGGAAAAACCAGAACGAGAAGCAGCCCAGACCAACAGGUCUUCCCCAGUACUCUAAAUCCUAAAAAUUAACUUCUAAUGAUGAUGAAAAAAACCCCCAAAAUGAGAUACAAAUGGAUACAAAUAGAAAGAAACAAAAUUCAGAUACAAACAGAACAGAGAAAGAACACAAAUUGAGCCAAACCCGAGGGACACAAAUCCAAAGCCAAAGCUAUAGGUCCAGCAUCGAGGACACAUGAAUAGCAAGCAAGAAAACCUCAACACAAACUGACAGACAAAAUCAUGAAUUCAAACCAGAAAA